CUAAUUUUUGCUUAUAUCAAUCUAAUCAAUUUAUAAUUAUAAAGAUGGCUAGCAAAAUAGUAAAACUACAUCCACAAGCUUUGUUGGUGAGACACGUAUUUUUUAUGUUAUUACAAUCCUGUCCUACAUAUACAUUGUUAUUUAUAAUCUCUGUCCUUUUCGUAUAUAUCUUUUAACCCAUUUGAAGCUGAAAAGGUGAGAGAACUACUUAUUUCUCGAACUCUCUCCUACAAUGUUUUGAAUUGUUGCAAGGUUCCUUUUUGUCUACUGGAUCGAAGGCAGAGGUGGCUUCAGCAAUCCCCAAAUCACUCUUUCGAGUUGAAAUGCUGCUUUGUGAUUGGUUUCGUGGUAUAAACAUGAGAUUGUCAAGUAAUUAUCUCGCAGGUCAAAGUGAUUCCAGAGCAAGAUACAAUCCGAGAAGAGGUUGCAACUACCGACUAAGAGGUAUUUACAGCGACGAGGGUCAUACUGAAAAGCCAACCGAUGUGGACGGUGCAAGAAGUCAGGAACAGAUCUGAGAUCGACGUUAGUCUCCUGCUAAUAGGAAAUGAUGUGUUGUGCAUUUCUUUGGCUCAGGUCAGGCUUACCCUUCCGAAGCAGUGCGAGCUGAGUCAUUUUAAACAUACUUUCCAAUAUUGGUAAGUGGUAAUUAAGAGCUUUGUUACACUCUGCUGCUUCCGUAAGAAAAAUUAAAGAGGAAAAAAUAUAGAAGGCUCUAUGUAAAAUAUUAGCUUGAGAAAAAAAUUAUUUAUUUAUUUAUUUAUUAUUAUUAUUAUUUGCAGGUUUUAUAAGAUGAAUUGAAUUGUUCAGAAUGUAAUAUUAGACUAGGAUUUGUUUGCUUUAACGGAUAAGAAAAUAAAUGAAAUUAUUGAACUUAGUGAAAUGGUGUUGUUCAAAUUCAAACAAUGAAAUGGAGCAAAAUCAUUUAAAAUGACUAGCUCUAUUCAAACAAUGAAAUGGGGCAAAACCAUUUAAAAUGACUAGCUCCUAUGAAAUUUGAAACACAGUGUUGAUUUGCUGUUUUUCUGUUUCUGUGAUUCUUUUAUUAGUCUUUCUACCUUUUUCUUUUUUUUUUUUUGUAUGUUCUCAUUAUUUUCCUUAUCUUUCCUUUUAGUGUUUUGAUAAACCCAAUUAAAUUUUGCUAAGAAUAUGUUUUAAACUUAAGUUCAAUUUCUAAUUGGUUUCAUUGAGAUGAACUUGAAUUUCAUACGUUUUGUAUUACUUUGUGAUACAUUUCAUUAUCACAAAUGCACAAUCACCAGAACAAAUUCACUUUCAUUGUUGAAGGAGACUCUUUUUACAAAUCUUUCAGCUUAUUUUACGAAAUGGGAGAAUAGGAGUUGAGGGCUGACAAGAAAAAAUUUCAAGUAAGUUAAUGAUGAGAGGGGGAAGAAGAAAGGGAUUAUGCUUUCUGUUAUAAGUGAAAAUCCCUCCAAGAGUAUAUGAAAUAUUUGCAUAAAGAAAAUUGGUUCAUAAUGAUGAUGAGUGUGUUCAGAACUUCAGAUAGCGAAGGAGACAUGGGGUUUCAAGUGGGAGACAUGCAAGGCACUAUACCUGUUACACUUGGGCUCUCGAAACAGCAUUCUUUCCUCAGCUUUGUGAUCCCGUGUGAAUCAACAAAAAGAAGAGUACCCUGUAUAAACAUUUAUGGCACCGUUUUGAAUAUGUAUCUAGAUUCUUAGUCAACGUGCCAUUUAUUACUGUUGCAUUGCAAUUGAUGAUUAAAAAAAAAAAACAGAACAAAAUAAGAUCAUAUUUUAGUUAAUCCGUAAGCUCAAGAAAUGUAGUAUAGAAAUGUAAGAAAAGUUUUUGUGCAGGGUAAUGCUGUUUGUUUGUUUUAACUAUUAUUAAAAAUCAAAUGAAAUAUUGUGGUAUUUUUUCUUUUUCUUC